rnacentral:rRNA from 1 species
GGUAUGCUUAACACAUGCAAGUCGAACGGAGUACUUCGGUACUUAGUGGCGGACGGGUGAGUAACGCGUGAGAAUCUACCUUUAGGACGGGGACAACAAUUGGAAACGAUUGCUAAUACCCGAUAUGCCCUUCGGGGUGAAAUGUUUUUUCGCCUAAAGAUGAGCUCGCGUCCGAUUAGCUAGUAGGUAGUGUAAUGGACUACCUAGGCGAUGAUCGGUAGCUGGUUUGAGAGGACAAUCAGCCACACUGGGACUGAGACACGGCCCAGACUCCUACGGGAGGCAGCAGUGGGGAAUUUUCCGCAAUGGGCGCAAGCCUGACGGAGCAAUACCGCGUGGGGGAGGAAGGUCUGUGGAUUGUAAACCCCUUUUCUCAGGGAAGAAGCUCUGACGGUACCUGAGGAAUCAGCAUCGGCUAACUCCGUGCCAGCAGCCGCGGUAAUACGGAGGAUGCAAGCGUUAUCCGGAAUUAUUGGGCGUAAAGCGUCCGCAGGCGGCUAGAUAAGUCUGCUUUCAAAGAGUGGGGCUCAACCCCAUAAGGGGAGUGGAAACUGUUUAGCUAGAGUAUGGUAGGGGCAGAGGGAAUUCCCAGUGUAGCGGUGAAAUGCGUAGAUAUUGGGAAGAACACCAGUGGCGAAGGCGCUCUGCUGGACCGAGACUGACGCUGAGGGACGAAAGCUAGGGGAGCGAAAGGGAUUAGAUACCCCUGUAGUCCUAGCUGUAAACGAUGGACACUAGGUGUUGCGCGUAUCGACCCGUGCAGUGCCGUAGCUAACGCGUUAAGUGUCCCGCCUGGGGAGUACGCACGCAAGUGUGAAACUCAAAGGAAUUGACGGGGGCCCGCACAAGCGGUGGAGUAUGUGGUUUAAUUCGAUGCAACGCGAAGAACCUUACCAGGGUUUGACAUCCCUCGAAUCUCGGCGAAAGUUGAGAGUGCCUUCGGGAGCGAGGAGACAGGUGGUGCAUGGCUGUCGUCAGCUCGUGUCGUGAGAUGUUGGGUUAAGUCCCGCAACGAGCGCAACCCACGUUUUCAGUUGCCAGCAUUAAGUUGGGGACUCUGGAGAGACUGCCGGUGACAAACCGGAGGAAGGUGUGGACGACGUCAAGUCAUCAUGCCCCUUACAUCCUGGGCUACACACGUACUACAAUGGUUAGGACAAAGGGCAGCGAAGCCGCGAGGUGGAGCAAAACUCAUAAACCUAGCCUCAGUUCAGAUUGCAGGCUGCAACUCGCCUGCAUGAAGGAGGAAUCGCUAGUAAUCGCAGGUCAGCAUACUGCGGUGAAUACGUUCCCGGGCCUUGUACACACCGCCCGUCACGCCAUGGGAGUUGGCCACGCCCGAAGUCGUUACCCUAACCGUUCGCGGAGGGGGACGCCGAAGGUGGGGCUGAUGACUGGGGUGAAGUCGUAACAAGGUAGCCGUACCGGAAGGUGUGGCUGGAUCACCUCCUUAAGGGAGACCUUACCCACUUUCAGCCGAAAGCACAA